rnacentral:snRNA from 1 species
GGAUGUUAGGUUGAUUUGGCUGUGACAUCUGUCACACCAUUGAUCACCAGGCUUGAUUCAGCUGAUCUGGAUGGCUAGGCAGGUGCCCACUUCCUCCCUCAUUCCUCCAUCUGCAUCCUUUCUGAAGCUGUGUGUUUGUUGAAAAGGAAGCCUUCCCUGAAUUGAGGAGGACCAGUUUUUGGUUAAGGGUAUACAAACAGCUAAGCUCCCUGCUAGAACCUCCAAACAAGCUCUCAAUAGAGAGGAUAGCCUUUAAAACAAAUAGUACAGAAGCAGCUGCCACCCAGAUGCAAAACAAGUCAACUUU